AGAGUCCUGUGUUUCUUCCUCAUAUGUCCUAAUACAAAAUCUAUUUCCUAAAUGGGAGAUUAUUGGGCUUAUCUACUCCCUUAGAUGUAGAGGAACAAGAUGAGGACAUGUUAGUCUUAGCAAAUUCUUCUUUAUCCUCCGUGAAUGCUUUAGACAAAAUUUCUUGAAGUUCCAUGUACCUUUGCUUCUUCAGUUGACGCUCUUCUACUGUAUCAUUCCCCAUGUAAGCUAUCUCAGACAAGUCAUCAGCAUCCAUGAUCUUAUUUAGAACUUCUGAACA
rnacentral:misc_RNA from 1 species